CUGGUGGAAUUGGACAAACGGGUCCUACUGGCGACCCAGGGCAUCCCGGAGUCCCUGGGGUCCCAGUGGUUGUUCUCUGGAGGAACUCAAAGGAGGAUUGGCUGUCAUUUACUCAAACCUCAUUUUAUCAGCUUCUUCGUGCAGGCUGGCCAAGCCAGCCUGGACCUCCUGGACUACCUGGACACCCAGGAAAGCCAGGAUUCCCUGUAAGUAGCAGUGGGAGAGAAAUUAUGUUUGGUU